AGGGCCCUUUUUCAUUUUCGUUUUCUCUCUCCCUCAAAGAUCUGGAUCUGCUCUUCCUUCCUUCUCUCUCUCUCUUUCAAAUUCUCCCUGGAUCUGCAGGUUCUUCCCUUCUCUGGUUCCAGAGAUGUCGAUGGUGGUGUCACUGAAGAGGUUCGCAAACAACUUUGGUGGAACCCUUGAAGAUCGACGAUGACGGCGGCGGUUAGGGUUCUGGUCGUGAAAUUGAAUUUCAUCUUUGAUGUUCAUCAUUAGAUUUGCUCUUUGCUUUGGAGAUACUAUUCAACGAGAUAGUAAGCCUUCAAUUUCAUAUUCCUUUGUCAAUUUCAUGAUUUAUUUCAUUUAAUGAAGAUGGAUCUUCGUUUUUUGUUGGUCAUGGUUUAAAGAACAUGUAAUGGUUUGAGAAGAGUUCAAGAUCAAGCUAUUGUUUUGUAGUAUGAAGGUGUGCAUCUUCCACAGAGGUACAUCCUUCAGUUUGUGUCAGCAAACCCAUGAGAUGGUGGGAAAAUACACAUGCUUGAGAUCAAUUAAGCACAAGAUUACGUAGACACAUUAUGAAAUUCAUGGGAUAAAAUCCCAUCUUUUUUUCUAUUCACCUGGUUGUGGUAGUUGUAAAAUCUGUCAACUGGCUAAGUCAAGCUCUAAAGCAAUUUUCCUCCAAGUGAACUAUGAAGAACUCAAACCCAUGUGUCAAUCUCUCCAUAUUCAUGUUCUGUCUUUUCUCAGAUUCCACAAAGGUCAUGAGGCCAAGAUCUAUAUGCGAUAAGAGUCAUGUGAUUUUUUAUUAUGCCAAACACCCUCUAGCAAAGUGAACUAGAGACUCAUAAAGGUUUUGGCUACAAAUAUGUCUGCUCUUGGUCUAUCUCAGAAACCCAUUUAUGUUCAAGCCGUGAGUGAGAUGAGAGACAGAAGUGGCAAUGAAGGCUUAGACUAGGGGUGAGCAUAAGGCCGAGUCUCUGCUGUGUAAGCAGGCCAUAAUCACUUGCGUAAAUAUGACAACACUAUUGAG